UGAAUUUACCUAGCCUGGCUCUUCCGG
rnacentral:piRNA from 1 species